rnacentral:misc_RNA from 1 species
ACAUUCCUCCUGCAAGCAUGUCCAGUUUUGACAUACUCAGUGUUGCAGCAUUCAUAUUCAUGAAUAGACGAGCUCUGGACCCACUUGUUGCGAGGCUAAGAAAGGACCCAAGAGGGCUCACCGAGCUUCAGAGAAUGGGAAUCGGUCUAGUUAUUGCAAUAACGGCAAUGGUCUCAGCAGGGGUUGUAGAGUUAUUCAGGUUAAAGCACGCACAAAAAGAAAAGGCUCGUAUAGGCUGCGACAGUGCGAGUUCUUUGAGCAUUUUCUGGCAAAUUCCUCAAUAUGUACUGAUAGGAGCAUCUGAGGUAUUCAUGUAUGUAGGUCAGCUAGAAUUCUU